AAACAAUUCUGGCAAAUUCGCACACGCGUCGACACGUUGACCCAGGGUGCCUGUCUGACAGGUUGGGUCAAUUGGACGUGUGGAGGACUAAC
rnacentral:sRNA from 1 species